rnacentral:rRNA from 1 species
AGAGUUUGAUCAUGGCUCAGAUUGAACGCUGGCGGCAGGCCUAACACAUGCAAGUCGAACGGUAGCAUUUCUAGCUUGCUAGAAGAUGACGAGUGGCGGACGGGUGAGUAAUGCUUGGGAACUUGCCUUUGCGAGGGGGAUAACAGUUGGAAACGACUGCUAAUACCGCAUAAUGUCUUCGGACCAAACGGGGCUUAGGCUCCGGCGCAAAGAGAGGCCCAAGUGAGAUUAGCUAGUUGGUAAGGUAACGGCUUACCAAGGCGACGAUCUCUAGCUGUUCUGAGAGGAAGAUCAGCCACACUGGGACUGAGACACGGCCCAGACUCCUACGGGAGGCAGCAGUGGGGAAUAUUGCACAAUGGGGGGAACCCUGAUGCAGCCAUGCCGCGUGUGUGAAGAAGGCCUUCGGGUUGUAAAGCACUUUCAGUUGUGAGGAAAAGUUAGUAGUUAAUACCUGCUAGCCGUGACGUUAACAACAGAAGAAGCACCGGCUAACUCCGUGCCAGCAGCCGCGGUAAUACGGAGGGUGCGAGCGUUAAUCGGAAUUACUGGGCGUAAAGCGCACGCAGGCGGUUUGUUAAGCUAGAUGUGAAAGCCCCGGGCUCAACCUGGGAUGGUCAUUUAGAACUGGCAGACUAGAGUCUUGGAGAGGGGAGUGGAAUUCCAGGUGUAGCGGUGAAAUGCGUAGAUAUCUGGAGGAACAUCAGUGGCGAAGGCGACUCCCUGGCCAAAGACUGACGCUCAUGUGCGAAAGUGUGGGUAGCGAACAGGAUU